AAAAAAAAACAUUCCGCCCUUUUGUUAUUCGCCUUCAUAUUUGGAUACGCAAUCCUAAUAUUCUUUGACGACGAUAGGUAAGCCGGCAAGUUGAAGAAGAAGGAAAAAUAAAAAAAAAAAAAAAAAAAAAAAAAAAGAAAAAGAAAAAGACCAAAAAAGAAGAGAGAGAGAGAGAGAAAUAAAAUCCGAGACUUUAGUCGAUGACUAUAAGGUGUUAAUUAAGCGGGCAGAGAAGAAGCAACUUGCUUAAUUCUAGAAGUUGAAUGGUAAAAAGCCCACCCCCGACCAAUCCCCAGCUUGCCUCUAUCAACGGCUUCAGCGCACCACCUCCACCUCCACAUCCACCUCCAUCACCUCCACCUCCACCUCCUCCUUCUCCUCUUUCUCCUCCUUCUAUACAAGCUCACCUCUCAACACCAGUGUGAAACUGAAUACGAGCGAGCAUAACGCUGAAAAAGCUGCUCAAAGAACACUCGACAUUUAGCAAAAUCGAAUAAAGCGUGCGAAAGCAAAAUAGAAGUUGAGGUGGUAGUAAUAUUUCAUUCGGAAGUAUGGAAAGGGAUUAAAGUCUCUUUUUCAUGAUGUCUUAUAGCAAAAAUAAGGAAAGAAAAGAAGAAAGAAAAGAAAAAGGGAAAAUAGAAAAAAGAAAAAGAAAGAGGGAGAAAGGAAGGAAGAAGGAUAGAAAAAAGGAAAAAAGUAAAGGAACGAAAGAAGGAAAAAUACUUUUGCCCUUUUUUAAGAAGUUGACAGAUUGUAUUCGCAUUUAAUGGACGAUCCGGCGUACCAUUAGACAGAUCUUUAAUAUUUAAUAAAACAUGAUAGAUAUGACGAAAUUAUUUAUAUACUUAUAUACUUACUUACUUACUUACUUAUUUACUUUGUCGAAAAUAAACAUGGGCGCCGUAAAGGAAAAAUUGCUCGGUAAGUAGGUAAGUAAGUAAGUAAGUAAGCGUGGAUAAAGAACGAUUUAUCAUUCAAAUAUUUACACCGAUAAGAAGAUUCAACUAAGUAUCUACGUAUUAUUUCUUUAAAUUUAUCUCAAAAGUAGUAAAUUUUAAUUUCUUAAGAUAAAAUAAAAAUCGAGAUAUUAUUC